CCACUACAAUUACAUUAUUACUAUUGUAAAAUUCUAGGUGUAAUUUGCAUUGUGCUUCCCUCUCCCCUACCCCCCUUCUCUCUCUCUCUCUCUCUCUCAACCCAACACGGCAGAUGGUCGCCCAACAUUGCAUCUGGUUCUGCCCAAGGUUUCUGCCUGUUAAAAGGACAUUUUUCCUUGCCACUGUUGCCAAGUGCUUGCUCAUGGUGGGAUUUGUCCUGCUCUAUAGGAAAAGUGCAAUGAGACAACUUCUGUUAUGAAUUGGCACUAUAUAAAAAAAUGUAAUUGAAUCCAACAACACAUAAUUUUACCUAUGCUGAUGACAUGACUAUUUCACCACGUAACCCAUUGGCCUGGAAGUUUUAAACUUAUUGAUUUAUUGCAGAUAAAUAGUGAUGGGACUGAGGUCUUACUAUAGUUCUAAGACCUAAAAGCCCAUAGUUAAGACUCUUCUCUGUUGCACACAUUCCUCCCGAGGGCUGUGAAAAAAUAAAGAAACUUGGGAUUGUUUCUGAUUCUGAUAACCCUUAGCUCCACAUAUUAAUAUUUAACUCUGAUUGUAAUUUAAAUGUGCAAUGUGUAAGAACUGAGACUACGCUCCACCUGUCAUAUUCAUACUCCCAAAAAAUAGGGUGCAACACAUCACAUAUCAGGUCAUAACUGCUGCUAACUGCUAGCUAGUUAGCUCAGUUAGCUAUGCAGCUAACUUAGCUGUCCUUGCAUCCAAUUUUUUUCAGUGGCCACUUGCACAAGAAAAAUUCCCCUGCAGCCCAGAAAGCUUUUUCCCCAUAGGCCACUACUGUAAAAGAGACGUCUGUAAAACUGACUGGUCACCUCGAACUGACCUUUUCUAUAAUGAUUUUUUUUUGAUCCAUAGAGGUUUUAUAUUUGUAAAACUCUCCAUGAGCCGAGAAAAGUGAUUUAAAAAUCUGUGACGUCAUCACAAUGUAAAGACUAUGGGCCGAGCAGGAACUCGAAGGCGGGGCCAGUGUGAGAAACACUACUGCGCAUAUUCAGUGGGCCGCAUACCCCCAAAGUAAACCUGGAAAAUAGAAACUUUUUUUGCCAUAUGCGCCAGGCUAGCAAUUCUCAUUGGACUGAAUAGGAGCCAAUUUUGGGUCCAGUAUCUCAACACGGGCUGAGCUACAUUAUCAGACUAUCGUCUCUUGAGGUACCAAGUGGUAUUAUGAGACAGGACGGGCUGGGGAUCGGUUUGCAUGCUAACUUCAGUAGAUAUCUCUGCAACACAAUAUUCAGUUCAUUCAUCUUUAUAUAUAUCUAUAUAAACAUUGCCACUAUUUUCUUAGAUGCUGGAUAGAUAUUCUUCACCUGAAAACAUAUCCAAAGGUUAUUUUAGAUUCUCCAGUUAAUUUAAGUAUCAUAAAUUUAACUUUAUUACCAACUGAUCAGAUUACUCUAAUUGGCUGGAUUGCAGCUAAUCAAGGAUGCAGCUGUCUGUGUUACAACUCACACUAUAUGACUGUAUUAUUGCAGUCUUAGUGUCUCCACUGGCUGCCCGUCACACUAUACAAGCGUUUCGUAAAUGACCUUGCUCUGAUAUGCUUGUUAGCUUGUUAGCCUGUUAGACCACUCAGAUCAUUUGGUGCUAGGCAAAGAAAAGAUCUCACGCUUAUAGUGUUUGACCUCGCAGAAAUGAAGCAGUCUGGCUGCUGACCUGAGAAGUGUCUCUGUAUUAUACUUAUUUAAAACCUAAGACAGUUUUUUACAGUGCCUACAGAACAUUUAAAUAAUGAAUAUGUAUGAAUAUCUGCUAGUGCGGAAAAUGCUUUUAGAUAAAUUAGUAUGAAAUGUGGACUAUAAAUAAAUUUGAACUUGAAUUUGAAACAGGUCAGACUUGUGCAACAUCAGGAACAAUUUGAGAGUGGAGGUUGCAAAGUCAACUACAUUUUAUGUUGUAGAUUGUUGUCCCAAGCUCUCAUGUACUGCAGCUCAUAAAGUAAUAACAAAUUUUACUAUCUACUGUGGUGUGUCAUUUGUUGGCCCUUUAUUCAUUCUAAGACUGCUGACUGAAUAGCUGAUAUGGUGAUGGUUCCUCCCUGGACACCCAUACAAUGCUAGAUACAGAUAAUGCAACAUAAUUUUAAUGUUAGGCUUGGCCUCACAAUGGUCUAAACGACAGGACUUUUGGGUCCCAAGGAGAAGAAGAAGAAGAAAGAAGCAGAAGGGGUCACUGCUACAACCUUCCCCAACCAGUGGAACCCACCCCAACCCAAAACACAGACUGAGACACAGGAGGGCUUAAGUUUCAAGCCAUUAAAAGUAAAAAGUCCACCGACUGGCUGAGAUCACAGGCCUGACGACGACACAAGAGUGUGUAGAACCAAGACAGUGAGGAGGUGGAGAGGCUGAAUGGACGAUGUGAAGGAGGCCUCAUUCUGCACCAUCAUACCAGUUCCUAUGAGAGAGAGAAAGAGACAAUACCGACAGUAGGGAGAUGACAAGAAAUGAAGGGAGAGAGAUGGGGAAUGACAUACAACAAAGGUCCCUAGCCAGAUCUCAACUGGGAACAUUGCAGUUCAUGUGUCUCACCUGAGUCCCGGGACACAAUAAUCUCGUGUGCUGGCCCGUCCCCGCCCUCUCCCCAGGACCGAAUCUCCAACACAACGUAACCGUUGUCUUUUGGCAGCGGCAGGCUCACUGACGUCUUUGCCUU